CAGGGCUGGGGUGGGGGCCGGGCCGGCCGGAGCGGGGCACCCGGGCCGGGACCGGAGCCGGCGCGGGGACUGCCGGAGCGCAGGAGUCCGGCGCGGGGCGGCCGGAACGAGGAUGGUAUUGGAGCGGAGAAAGUCGGCCGAACAAGCGCUGCUGCUGCCGCCACCACCUUCUCCGCCGGAGCUCUUUGAGUGUGCGCGCUGCGUUCUGCCGAGGAGGGCGCCCCGCUCCGCUUUUAUGGCCCCAAGGCGGACCACGUUGAGAACAACAACAGCCUGGUCCGGGGCCAGCGCCAACUUGUGCUUCUUGGAGCCCCUUCCCCGGCCGCUGGCUUCCCAGACCGCUCCUCUCCGGUGCCACCACUCCUGCCGCCGUGCGCCCCGGACAGGGCCCGAGCCCGCGGCGCGGCGGAGAGACGGCUGGAGCCCAAGGGCGGCUCGGCAGAGGGGAACGGAGGGGUGCACCCUAGGCUGCGGGAGCGCUAGAGGAGGGGGGCACCCUGUUUGGGAGCGAAUAGCGCCGGCCACGAGAAAGGCCCCACGACCUAGAGCUUGGCGGCCGGCAGCCAAGACAGCGCCACAGGCUCCCAAGCCCUGACCGCGUCCAGGGGGCCCCGGGCCUGCCCGCUGGACGCGCUUUAAUUUGUCCGAACUAACACAGGGCACGCCCUCACGUGGUCGGCCGGGGCAAUGUGGAGGGAGCUGGGACGUCUUCGAGGGGGGUCUCCGCCCGAGUCAAAGGGGGGAGCGGAUGCCGGCGCCCUCCAGCUGCGCGCCCGGGCUGUUAGGCCUCGGGGGCCUGGGCACAAUGCGGGAGGAAGCGGGAAGGACCGCAGGUACUGCUCCAGGGAUAUUUCCUAGCCGUCUCCCCUUCCCCCGCCGCCGCCGCCGCCGCCGUGGCCGCUGAUGCUACAAGUGCCGCAUUUUGUGGAGCACGGCUGAGCAUGGGCUCCCCUCCUUGGGUACCAGCGAAGUCCUCCGCGGAGGCUUGUGCAAACCUGGUGGCCCUGCCGCUGGGUCCAGUACUGAGGGUGCGGAGGAGGCGCCAGACGCUGAGACCACGGGGAGAUGCUCGGGAGGAGGGCGGCUCCCUUUGGAGGCGGUGCAGCAGAAUUCAGAGCUGGGCCGAGAGCCGCGUCUGGUGAAGCCGGCGACGGCUGGGGACGCUGGUGCUGAGCGUGGCCAUCGCGGGACGAAGACAGAGGACGGAGGAGGUUUGCAAGCCGGGCUCGGGGAGGCCAGGCCCUGUUUUCAAGUUCAUGGGCUUUAGGCACUAAUUGCCUUUGACCUUUUUAGCUCAGCAGUUUCCUUUUUUUUUUUUUUAAGGAAAAUAAAAUGCACAUAACAUAAAAUGUACCACUUAAACCAUUUUUAAGUGUACAAUUCAGUCUCACAACGUAUAUUCACAGUGCUGGGCCACCAUGGGCACUGUUUCCAGAACUAUUCCAUGAUUCCGGACAGAAAUUGUGUCCCAACUAAACAGUCUCCAUUCAUUUCCUCCCUGCCCCCCCCUGCCUCUAUUCUGUUUUCACUUGCUAAGAUUUUUCCUAUUCUAGGUACUUCAGAUAAGUGAAAUCAAACUAUUUAUCCUUCUCUGUUGGGCUUAUUUUAUUUAGUGUAAAGGCUUCAGGUACGUACACAUUAUAGCAUGGUUCAGAAUUUUAUUCCUUUUUGUGGCUGAAUAAUAUUCCAUUAUAGGUAUGGAUAUACAUGGGUAUGUAAACCAUGUUUAUUUAUCCAUCAUCUGUUGAUGGGCACUUGGAUUGUUUCCACCUUAGAGCUAUUGUGAAUAAUGCUGCUAAGAACGUGGUAUUCGAGUGUCUCUCUGAGUCACGGCUUUCGAUUCUUUUGAGUGGAUGCCUCGGAUUGGAUGGAGUUGCUGGGUCAUAUGGUAACUCUGUUUAACUUUUUGGGGAAUGACCAAAAGAUGUUCCACGGGGCUGCAGCAUUUUACACUACCUCAACUCGCACAAAGGUUCCGGUCUCUCCACGUCUUUGGGAACACUUCUUUUUCUUUCAUUGUUUUGUUUUGAAUAAAGCCGCACUACUGGCUGUGAAGUGGCUCUAAUUCGCAUUUUUCCCAAACGACUGCUGCCACUGAGCGUCUUUUCCUGUGCUGAUCAGCCAUCUGUGUGUCUUCUCUGGACAAAUGUCUGAGUCCUUCGACCAUUUUUAAAGUGCGUCUGUUCUGUUACUGAAUUGUGUGAGUUCUUUAUGUAAUCUGAUACUACUCCCUUCUCAGGUAACAUCGCGUUUAUGACCACCUCCUCCUAGUCUGCCGGCUGUGUUCUCAGGCUCUUGCCGUGUCCUUCGAUGCACUGAAGUGUUAAUUUUUUGUUUGUUUUUUGGGGGGAGGUAAUUAGGUUCACUUAUUAUUAUUUUUUUUUAAUGCAACAAAAGUGCUGGGGAUGGAGCCCAGGACCUCGUGCAUGCUAAGCAUGUGCUCUACCCCCGAGCUGUACCCUCCCCCCAAAAAGUAUUUGACUUUGAAGUUCGACAUACCUAUUUUUCCUUUUGUUGCCUGUGCUUUCGGUGUCAUAGGCGGGAAAUCAUUGCUGAACCCAGUGCCGUGAAACUUUCCCCCAUGCUCUCUCCUAAGGAUUUCAUAGUUUUAGCUGUGACUUUUAACUUUACUUUCUGUUAAUGCCUGUCCUGGGAAUUCCUUAUCCCACAGAACACCAACCUCGCGGAAGUGCAGCACCGUCCCGUCUUUCUCUGAUGUAUUUCUCUUCCCGUUUCCCUUUAAUCAGUUAAAAGGCACUGCUCUCAGCUCUGGAAGUGCCGCCUUUCGCCGCGGGCUCCCGCUGGGCCGCUUUCUGCGCAGUGCAUCCAUUCAUUUACAUUUAUUUGUUAGCUGUGACGUGUAGAUCGCUGAUCCACUUCAAGCUGAUUUUUGUGGAUGGUGUUAAGGUAAAAGUCCAGCUUCAUUCUUUUCCCAGUAGUUUGUUGAAAAGAUUGUCCUCUCUCCAUUGAAUGGCCUUGGCUCCCUUAUUGAGAAUUAAUUGACCAUAGAAGUGAGGAUUCAUUUCCGGGCUCUGUUCUAUUCUGUCGGUCUAUGUGGCUGUUCUUACGCUAAUACCACACUGUUGCGAUUACAGGAGUUUUGUAUUAAAUUCUGAGUCAGGAAGUUAAGUGUGACACCUCCCACUUUGUUCUUUUUCAAGAUUGAUUUGACGAUUUGACUAUUUAAAGUUCUGUGAUUUUCUACAUGAAUUUUAGGACAGGUUUUUCUAAUUAAUUCUUUUCUUUGGGCUGGGGGAGGUAAUUAGGUUUAUUUAUUUUUAGAGGCAGACGGGGGAUGGAACCUGGGACCUUGUGCGUGCUAGGCGGGCGCUCUCCCUCUGAGCUGUGCCCUCCCCCAGGACAGGUUUUUCUGUUUCUGCAGAAGCAUCACUGGGGGUUUGGUAAGGACCGCACUGCCUCUGUAGACAGUUUGGGGCAGUACUGUCACCUCAGCAAUGUUAAGUCCCCCAGUCCAUGAGCACAGGGCGUCUUUCGUUUAUUUAGGUCUUCAGUUUCAGUCCGCGGUGCUUUGUGGUUUUCAGCGUGCAAGUGUCACCUUCCUGGUUACAUUUAUUCCUAGCGUUUUCUUUUUGACACUAUUGUCAGUGGAAUUACUUUAACUUUUUUUGCAUUGUUUAUUGCGAGUGUACAUAAAUGCAACUGAAUUUUGUGUUGCUCUUUGUAUUCUGUGAAGUUGCUAAAUCAGUUUAUUGUCUCUAGCAAUGUGGAUUCUUCAGGGUUUUUCACAUACGAGAUUGUGUUACCUGAACAAAGGCACUUUUACUUCUCCCCUUCCAGCCUGGAGGCCUUUUCUCUCUUUUCUUCCCCAGCUGUUCUGGACAGAACUCCCAGCGCUGUGAGCAGAAGUGACCAAGGGGAAACCCUUGCCUUGUUCCCAGUCUCAGGGAGAAGGCUUUCCGUCUGUCACCACCGAGUGUGUGUUCUCCGUGGGGUUUUCGUAAAUGGGUUUUAUUAUAUUGAGAAAGUGACCUUCUGUUGCUCGUUUACUCAGUGUUUUUAUCAUGAAAAGGUGCUGAAUUUUUAAAAAUUGAGAUGUGACUGACGAACAGCAUGUUAAUUCCAGGUGUGCCACGCGAUUCGGUAUUUGUGUGUGUCGUGACGUGAUUACAGGAAGUGUAGUUAACGUCCGUCAACACACACAGUGGCAAAUUUUUCCUCUUCUGAUGAGCACGUUUGAGAUCUAGUCUCUUAGGCAAACUGGGUGAUCAUCAGUGGAGUCCGCUUCACCUGAAACCUGCCUUCACAAAUCAAGGUUAUUUUAGUUGUUGCUACGGACCUGCGCGUCCUCGGAGCAGCGCGUGCCGCAAACAGCACGUUUGCCCGAGCUCCUCUGCAGAAGCGUGGAGUCAGCUGCGUCUGGCUGGGGCGGGGCUGGGUGGGGUGGGUGGGACCGCGGACCCUCCAGCGGGACUGCGUGAGUGUCCCCGUGAGUGUCCCCGGGGCGGCCUUCUGAGCAGAGGCCUGUAGCUCAGUUACACCUGCGGGAGGGACCAGGGUUACCACACCGCCUCCCACCCCUGAGCCCCACGCCCCGCCCCAGACCACCCUGCUCCUUGAUUCAUGAUCCCGUGAACACGUGGGGCCCCCUGGCCUUCUGGGAGGGCGAUUCUGGACCAGCUGUCCUCACUUGGCUCCCCUGCGAACACAGCCUCACUUGGCUGCAAACCUCGGCAUCUCAGCGUCCGGCCUGCUACGCGUCAGGUAAGACAAGCCUGGUCAGUCACGUUAGCAACUUGCAAGUAUGCAACACAGUCACCAUUCUGCGCGUUGCAGCCCCAGGACCAGUUUUGUGACUGGAAGUUUGUAGCUUCUGACCCUCGUCCCUCAUUUCCCCGACCCCACCCCCUGCUCUGCAACCACCACUCCGUUCUCGGUAACUAUGAGUUUUGUUCCUUUGUUUAAUUAAUUCGACAUAUAAGUGAGAUCACGCGGUAUUUGUCUUUCUCUGGUUUAUUUUACUUAACAUAAUGCCCUAAAGUCCAUCCGUGUUGUCACAAAUGCCAGGAUUUCCUUCUUUUACGAAGGAAAAAGUGGCUGAAUAAUAGUCCGCGGUGUGUGCGCGUGCGUGGGCCCAGCUCCUCACCCAGUCGCCUGCUGAUGGACACUCGGUUGCUUCCACGUCUCGGCUGCUGAGAUUGGUGCUGGGAGUGCAGGCGACGUUUCUGAGAUGCGUUUUCUUUGGAUUCACACCCAGAAGUGGAACUGCUGGAUCAUGUACUUGUUUUUUUUUAAUUUUUAGAGGAACCUUGGACUGUUUUCCAAAGCGGUUGCGCCAGUUUACAUUCUCAGCGGCGGCGGCGCACAAGGGUUCCCCUUUGCUCCACAGCCUCGCCGGCACUUGGCACUCCUUGCCUGAAGAGCAGCCGUUCUCACAGGUGCGAGGUGGCCGCUCACUGGGGUUCGACCGCGUGUCCCCGACGACCGGUGACGCUGAGCGCCUUCUCGUGUGCCUGCCGGGCAUUUGCAUCUCUUCUUCGGAAAAAUGUCUGUUCAGAUCCUUUGCCCAUUUACAAGAAAUUGGAUCGUUUCUUUGUCACUGAGUUGUAUGAGUUCUUUAUAUAUUUUGGACAUUAACCUCUUACCAGGAUGACUUGCAAGUACCCCCCCCCCCCCCGUUCAGUGUGCUGCCGUUUCCUUCUGUUCAUGGUCUCCUUUGCGGUGCAGCUUUCGAGUGGAAUUUUUCAGAUGUCUUUUCGGCAUCAGUUGAGGUGAUUGUGUUGGGUUUUGUCUUCAUCCUAUAAAUGUGGUGUAUUGACACUUUCAUAUGUUGAAUCAUCCUUGUAUUUUAGGAGUAAAUUCCACUUGGCCAUAAUGUAGAAUCCUUUCAAUAUGCUUCAGCUGUUCUGGGGGAAAACCGCCAGAGAAUCAGUGACCUGAUAGGAUUUCGGUGCUGCUGUCAGAGGUGGAGGCUCCUACCCCAGGGCAAGGAGAGAUGGCCAGCAGUUACCCUGUCUGCCCCCAAGCCGUGGACAAAACCCCCUGAGCAGCCCUUCCCAGGGUGGAGGGGUGACGGAGAGCGAGUCUGGGUACUUUUCUGAAGGGGCAGCGGUGCGGGUGCCAAGCCCACUUCUGAGGCCCCCCCCUUCAAUGCUGGGCCCUCCCAGGGGGCCUUUCCUCCCCUCCCCCGAGGGGUGACCAGACCCCGCGGCAGGGUCCCUCAGUGGAGCCCCCGCAAAGGGAGGGGCACCCAGCAGGAGGGGCGGCUCCAGCCCCGUCCGUCCGUGGAACGGAGGCAGGACUCCUGUGUGUGCGGUGCUGAAGCAGGACAGCAGGACGGGAGCCUGGUGCUGGGAGGGAAAUGGGCUGAGCCCCAGGGCGGGGCGCCCUCAGGGGCGCACGGACUAGUGAUCGAGCAGCCAGGAAACGGGACCCAGUGUGAAAUUUCCGGUGGGGUGUGUGUAGGGGACGUGGGCCCAAACUAUGCAGGACUGCGAGCGCGGGGAGGGGGCGAGUGUGUAUUUCAGAUCUUUAAUUUUUUUAAGGCAAAAAUCCGGUUCAGGAACAAGCAGUGGGCCUCACACACGAUCGCAGCCCAUGAAACGCUCAGGGAGAACUUUAUGCCAGCCCACCCCGGCUGCUCAUCAGAACUGAAAGGACCUCGAGGCCCCCAGCCUAGGACCGUAAAGCCGGGUGGGGCCCGGCCCUCGGCUGCUUCUAAGACACAGCUGGGCUCGCCAGGGAAGGAGCCCCGCUGCCGCCUUCAGGCACGCGCUCAGCUCGCUUCCUCCUCUUUGCAGAAGGCAGCUCACGCCUUGCGAGGCUUUUGGAUUAGACCAAGUUAGGACAGGGAAGCCGGCAGGAAGGUGCGUGGAGAAGGGACGUUCCCAAAGUAAGCGACAGGCCCUGGAGCUGGGCUGCAGGUGGGGCCUGUUAAGGGCUGAGGUGUGUUCCCCUCACAUUCCUACAGGGAAGUCCCAGCCCCCCACAUCUCAGAAUGUGACUGCAUUUGGAAAGAGGCUCUUAAAAAGGGCAACUAAGUUAAAAUAAGGUCACAAGGUGCCCCAACCCAACAGAAGUGAUGCCUUCAGACAAGACAGGCGUAGAGGGACAACCACGUGAGGACACGGGAAGACGGUCGUCUGCAAGCCAACCUCGGAGGGACCCACGCUGCCGACGACACCUGGAUCUCAGGCUCCUUCCUCCCAGAACUAUGAGACAGUAACACCAUUGUUUAUUCUAACAGCAGCCCUAGCGGUCUCCAGCCGCAGCAAUCCAGGAGCCCGGGACAAGGAACAAAACGGGAUCUGGAAGGUGACAGCAGCUUGGGACCCAGGAAGAGGCCUCUGGAAGGGCAGGCACAUCCUGGUCAGGGUCGGCUGGCUUCACAACCAAGUUCAGGGCGUGGUGGCCCCACGGUCACCAGUCACGCCCAUGGUGACGGUGAGGACACGGGUCAGUCAGCGUUAAGCAUGAGAUCACUUCAAGGUUGGGGUGGUUCAAAGUACGGAUGAAGGUCUGUGUCCAAGGAUGGUUAAGAUGAGGGUUAAGGUGAAGUUGAAGGUCAGAGUGGGUCGUUGUCACUUCAGCAGCAGGCUCAGUAUGAAGGAAAGUUGCUGAGGUCAGGCUGAGGAAGGUCAGCUGACUGUCAGUGUCGAGGUGAGGGUCUAGAGCAGGGGUCAAGGGUAUGGCACUGCACAGGUCAGAAUCAGACUUAGAGUCAAGGGAAAAUCCACGAUGCUUCAAAUACGGAAGACGGAUAGUGUCAGGUGGGCCGGGUCAAAGAUCGGGACAGGCUGAGGAGCAGGGCCAGGGUCAAAGUCACCUUGCAGUCAGGGCUGCUCAAAAUCAGGACUGCCACCCGACAGCGACAGGAUGACAGAAUCAAGGUGAAGUACAAACUGAGGGCAUGAGGUCACCAGGGUGGUUCAGGGUCAAAGUCAUGACAAGCAGAAGCGUCAGUAUUUGGUUCAGUAUUAACGGCAAAUUAAAAACAAGCAAAAUAUACCGCCUCAAAAAAAACGCAAAAUAUGGUUAAGGUUGGUUAAGGUGAGGACAAAGGUCAGAAUUAGGGCCCCUUUCAAAUUCAAGGUCACGUUCGUGGUUAUUUCAUGUUUAGGGAGGGUUACGAUCAUAAUGACUGUGCACACGUUCAAGAUCGAGUGAAAAUGGGUGUGACGUGGUCAGGACACCAGAUCAAGGUCGGGUUCUGGAUUGACUUCAGUGACCCAAGGUCACUUCACAGGGGUUACGGCCAGGAUCACGGUGUCUGAAGGACAAGACGAGUUAAGGAGAAGUUCAAGGUUAAAAUCAGUGACUCAGGGAGAGAUGCUGGCAGCAUGAUCUGGGUCAGGAAUAAGGGUCAAUUUCAAGAUGAUUAAAUUUAAGGGUAAGUUCAGCAUUAACUUUGGUCAACACGCCAGUAUCAGGUUUUUGUUUUUGUUUUUUUGUUUCCAUUUGAAAUGAGUUGGUUUAAUUCCAGGUGGUACAGAAUUCAGGCUCAGGAUGGAACAAAGACUUAAGAACACAUUUUGGCAGGAUUCUGGGCUGAGUUUACGCUGAUUUCACAGCUAAGGCAGAAAUGGUUGAGAUGAACUAAAGAGAAGAUGAGCCAUUGUAUGAUUUUUUCUUUUACACAAAUUUAUUCUUAAAUGUGCAGUAGGUCCCAAGGCAACACUUCAUUCUAGCUGUAGGUGGCAACAGAUUCUAUGACAGGGCAUCCAGACGUGUAAACAGGAAUGGAAUCAAGGGUCGUUACUGCCUCAGGCACAGGGAUUCCGCCUGUGGCCAGGAGACCUUUCCCCAUGGCCUUCUUGGGGUUCUUCUGCCCCUCCUCCUGUUUCUGCAUGAAUGCCUUGUCCUCCUCGUCCAUCUCUUUGGGCUGCGCCAGUGGCUUUUUCUUGCCACCUUUGUAGCUGGACAUGGCGCCUGCCGCCCCUUCCCCAGACCUGCCAGGAUGGUCAUUUUUUAAGGUGAAGUUCAAGUUCACCCCAAGGUUGUGAUGAGUGUUAGUGUGACAUGUAGGGUCAAGUUGAGGUCAUCUCAAAAUCAGGUUACAUCAUAAGGAACACACACGUGGUGAGACUGGAUCAAGGUCAGGUUCAAGGAUAAGAUCAAAUUCAAGGUCAUUUCAAAGCCAUGGUGGGUCAAGGUUCAUGGAAAAGGUCCAGUUUAAGGUACAGUACAAGGUCAACUUUAAAUUAGGGUGGGACAUGGUCAGAAUGAGGGUUUCAAGACCAAGGCAAAGAACCAUCAGGUCAGUGUGAGGUCCAGGACCGUCUUCAGAGUCACGAUGAAGGUGGGAGGUUCAACCUCGGGUUCAUGUUCAAGGUCAGAUGGUGGGGGAGGGGGGGGCAAAAUCCUGGCCCUGGAGAGUGCAUCUAUCUGAGCGUCAGGGUCUGGGUCAGGAUUCAUGGAGCAAGAGGAACAUAAGCUCAGCAAUAUACUUUGACCUCGGAGUCUGAGCCAGUCAGGAUGAGUCUAACUACUGGUGACGAAAGGAGGCAGUGCGAGCAGGCUGCGGCUCGUCCUGCGCGAGCGUAAACAAGGUGGCGGGCUCCGCGGCGGCGCGUUCUCGCUAAGGGGUGUAGCGAGUCAGCAGCCUCCGCUGGUGCUGCUCGGGUAAAGCCUCGUGCUGGUCAGCGGUAACCAGCAGAACCUUGAGGGAUGCAGCUCACCUUAAAGGCACGUUCUUACUGGAGGCGGGAGAAGUGAGGCUCAAUCCGAACAGGGGUUUGGAUAAGAAUUCCCGCUGGAGCAGCAGUCAGCCCCAGGCUCCCCGCACCGCGAGGCCAGCAUGGAUCAGACCGAGGAAGCCCACCGACAACGCGCCCGCCCGGCUGCAGCAGUGCAUCCCCGGCCUCAGCAGUACUUCCUCUCGUCUGGUGGGUAAGCUGAGGUGGCUGGAAACAGCCCCACGGCCACCCCGUUCAGUCUCACUAGGGGAAGGCUUGUUGCAGUGCAAACCCCUUCUCCUCACUGCUUCUCUCGAAAGCAUGUACUUACGGUGCCUGUAUCAGUGUGGUCCCCACGAGGUGAGACCAAGGCUGGCCAGGCCCUGGGUGGACGGGAACGUGGCGGCUGGUCCCAGGUCAGAGUGAGGAGGUCGAAGUGAGAGUCAGUGUUAACCUCAAAGCUGGACUGUGAUUAGGGUCAGAGUCAAGGUCUUCUCUAAGGGGCACCGUGUUUAGGAUGAUUGUCAAUGACAAGAUGAGGCUGAGAUCAGAGGACGGUCAGUUCAGAGUCAAGUCUAAAAUUAGGGCUAUGGUUGGGAUCAGGGUCACAUACAAGGUCACAUUCAAGCUCAUCUCAAGGCAAGUCCAUGUAAAGGUGAGCAUGUUUUAGGGUGUGGUUGAGGUCAUAGGUCGAGAUUCAUUUCCAUGUCACGUUCAAGGUCAGGACCAGAGGGACAGGAUCUGAUGCGAGCAGCCUGGUCUGUGGAAGUGAGCGUCACGCAGGAUCGGCGCACCGCGGCCCACCGGCCAGGCCCAGGGCUGGAAGGACGCUGCUUCUCCAGAAGCCAAACACCAGCAGCCGAGCCACGCCAGGGGAGAGGGCCCUGCACCACUGACCACGGCGGGGCCGAGGCCGUGAGCUUCCAGGGGUGCUGCUGUGAACACGCCAAGAACAAGCCAAGAGCGGGCUUGGGGCAAGAACCUGCCCGCGGGGCCCGAGCAGUGGAACGCAGAGACCUGGGGCCAAGGAGAAGCCACAGGCGCAGUCAGCGAGCCCACCUGCAACCCUACACUGUCCCACCGGCCGAGACACCGCGACUUCAUAAAAUUGGUCCUGGGCGGUAUCUCUAUGUCCUGGGCCCCCACUGCCAAAUCUUCCCUCCCGUGAAAAGUCAGAAACCCAGGCCUGCGUGAUGUCUGAGGAUUAGCCACCACGCCAACCAAAAUACAACAGGAGAACACACACAGCCCAAGUUCCACUCACCCCACGGGCUGGGUGUGGUCCCUGGCACCAGCAGUUUGGGACCAGUCUAACAGAAGGACAAUACUUCUUCCAUUCAAGGUUCCCACCCCCAACACCGCGAUUAAACACACAAAGGACAAAAACAGCAGGGCAGGUACAGCAGGGCUGGCUGCCAGGUGGCCCCUCUGCCCGGGAGCAAGGGAGGGCCACGGGCCGGGGCUCUUGCUGGAGAAGAAAGCAGUGGCUGUGAUUAGCCAGCGGGGCUUCCUGAGCCAGAAGUCUGGAAGAAGGAAAAAAGGGCAAAGGCAGACGAUCUUUGUUCUUGUUACAUUUUAUUGGCAUCACGUUCAUCUCUUUACAGAAGAACUAGGCCCACACCCUGGGACGCAAGCCUCGGGGAGGGGAGUGCUCCGCAAGCAGGCUGCUCUGCAGGGCCGUCGGGGACAGCUGGGCUCCGCACCGGAGACAUGGGGCUGGGGACAACAAGGUGUGCUAACCUAAGGGUGCCUCGACCCUGCAGGGAGCGCCUUCUAGAACAAAGGUAAAGUCACCAGGACAGAUCUGUGGGGGUGUUCCUUUCCCUCUGGUAGGUGGGAUGCUGAUCUAAGGGGGGAGGGUUUCAAAGUGUGGAGCAGGAAAAAAAGGAAAAAUGAGUUUAAGUUUUUGAAACAACGGCCAUUUCUCCAUCGCACACACCACUGUAUUAUGCAAAUCAACCUUUUGGAAAAUUUAGAUGCAGAAGGAAUGCGACAGUUUCCC